rnacentral:rRNA from 1 species
GAUCUCGACGGAGAGUUUGAUCCUGGCUCAGGACGAACGCUGGCGGCGUGCCUAACACAUGCAAGUCGAACGAUAACCCGGAGCUUGCUCCGGGGGACAGUGGCGAACGGGUGAGUAACACGUGAGGAACCUGCCCUAGAGACCGGGACAACCAUUGGAAACGAUGGCUAAUACCGGAUGCCUUCACAUGGUCGCAUGACCGAGUGAAGAAAUGCUCAGGCGCUCUAGGAGGGUCUCGCGACCUAUCAGCUAGUUGGUGAGGUAAUGGCUCACCAAGGCAUCGACGGGUAGCUGGUCUGAGAGGACGAUCAGCCACACUGGGACUGAG